GAGCAUUUCCAGCAAAAGUGUGAAACGGCUUUGCGCAGGAUAAUGCGAUAAAACAAAUAGUUAGAGCGGCUCCAACGAUUCCGUUUUAACCGGAACCGCUCUGGAGUUUCUAAAAUGAAAAGCCCCGCAUGCCCCCGAAGUUGGUCGUCCAACUUUCGGAGGCAGUUCAAUGGGCGGGG
rnacentral:misc_RNA from 1 species